rnacentral:lncRNA from 1 species
AUGGCAGAUUUAUUCAUGUUAUGUGGGAAGAAGGGCUAGGAUGACACAAGAAAGAAAAAGAAGUCAACUGUGGUUGAAGUAAGCACUGAGCUGAUUUUUGUUGGAGUAGAACGUUUCAAUGAAGAUGCUGAAAUUCUCUGUGUUGGAGUGAUUUCAAAUUCACAAUUUCAACCCUUUUGGACAGUCAUGCCUGGCACAUAUUCAAGAAAAACGAAAGGCCACUUCAGUCAAGGUGCCACCCAUACAUUGCAGCCUUCCAAGUACGUGACCCUCAUCAAAUCCUGUGGCUGUUUCACCUGGUUCUCAUUCUGAAUCUAUAUCAUCAGAGGCCUGAUUGUUGUCUGUUGAACUUCUGUCUAAACCUGUUAUAAGACAAGCCAUGCCUCAUAAUUCUUCAGAGUCACUCUCUUCUUUAACUCAG